rnacentral:lncRNA from 1 species
UGGUUGUUUCAUAUUCGUGGUUUAGGCAUUUUUCUAGUAAUUUGGUAAACUGAAAUCGAUAAGUUUAACAUUGAAUUGUGCCCGAUUACUUCUCCGGCUUUUGUAUUCUUUUGGUUACAUUUAGAGCACUCCUUCCUUUUACCAUUUGUGUUAUUAGGAGUUCUAAUCAGUUAAUCUCAUUGCGCUUUGUUAUUAUAUUAAUGACAAUUAUCAGUAUGGAAGGUGAAAGGAUAGCACUCUAACUGAUGCAUCUGUAACGGUGAAUAAUUUGUAUAUCUGCUUUAAGGCCAUGUAAAGUAGAAUGCUGCAAGUUCUUCGGAGAGCAUGCAUGGUCUCUGAAUCUUUCUGUUUUCGCACCCUUUAAAUGCUUUGGAUGUAGCCGGCUCCACCUAAAGGUUUUCGAUUCAACUGUUAUGAUGAAUAAUUGAUUAGAUUUUAUGUUCCAAUUCUGAAUUUAGUAUGCAGUUGUUGCUUAACAUAAAUAAGUACGAAUCACGGCAGGACAGAAACUAAUCUGUGUUUUUUUCUGAUAUGUUGCAUACAAUUUGAUGCCAUAAUCGUAGAUUCGUAGAGUUUCUGUUCAUGUUAUUAUGAAACUAAGAAAUGUAAGCUUGUUGCCCUUGCUUCAUUGUUCAGGGACAGAAGCCGCAAAAUGACAUGCUAGAUAAUCUUAAUGACAGAGGGGAAGAAUUCGGCAAAUACCUGCCGGAUAAUAAAACCAAAGAUAGAAGAAAAGGGCAAGUGCACUUGAAACUACAAUCUGAUUUAACCAUUCUGUGUUGCUGCCUGUAU